CCAGGGAAAAGGCUCUACCUGACUGUCCUGUUCCUGCACUCUCCUCCAAGCGUCACCCUAGCAGAGACCGAGGCAGGUAUCGGAUGAGAGUCCCUCCAACUUCCCUGAUAGCCAGAGGAACUAGAAGUUUAAUUUCCUGGAUGUGCUAACACCUGCAUAUAAUCACAGGACUCUGAAAGGUGAUGCUUUAAAGGCCAUCACCAGCUAUUACAAAAUAACAGAAAAUCAUAGAAACCACUUAGCUUUAACUGCAGAAGAACAGCCAGACAUCUCUCCAAUCAAGAAACACACGCAAGACCUGCACUGGAUAGCUUUCUUAACAGAACACUACACAAGAUUUUAAAAUGGGGACUUUGUUGUGUUAAUUAUGGUGUUUAUCUGAAAUGGUGCAUAAAAAUGUACUUUUAUAAGUGCAAGUGUAUAUAUCUUACCAUGAUAGUCAUAUUUAGAGAAAAUGAAUUAAGGAAAAAACACUCUAAAGACCUGGGCUGCUAUAUAAAUACUGUAGUGAGUGUUAUCAGUGGUAGCUGUAGAUAAAUUGUACUUUGCAGAUCACAGAGUCAUUAAUUUGCAGCACACCUAGACGGGGUGGUCGUGCAUCUGGGCGCCUGUUUAACAUCCUCUCUUUGGGCACGGCUUGGACGGGGAUAUCUGGGGGUCCAGGCUCCAGGCAGGCAGAGGUAGAAACGGGUGCUUCGCAGGACAACGCUGGAAGCCGCUCUUGCAGCAAAGGCAACAGGCUGGAGGAGCUCUUGUGUGUGUAAGACCGGUGGCACCUGCUGCUGCAGCGGGCAGGUUUCACCUGAACAUGAUGCAUUAUUUUACCUAUAUUAUCUGAACAUUAGUGGUCCUGAAUAAAACAGGGAUCCUGGAAAGCUGAGCCCAAUGUGAAUAUGCUGUAGGAGCUUGGACUUUGAUUAGCAAGACAAAGGCAAGGAGAAGGCAAGGUGAUGAUGCUCUGUGGAUCAUGCAGCAGGGUGGUGGCAGGGCUGGCUUCCUUUCCUCCCAGUGCCUGCUGCACUAGGGGUGGCAUCGCCACUCUUACCUGGCAGAUAAAACCUCUCUGGAAGAGCUCUGAGCUAGCACACAACAUCAUAAAGGGACAUGAGCAUCUGUAGCUGAAAUUCAUUCUGGCUGAAGUCUGUGCUAUUCUGAAUUUCUCUCUCUAAAACCUGUAAACUAAGCUCUCUGCCCUUGAAGGCCAGCCCUGAAGCUCCCCAACAUGACAAGAAGCGCUUCAGCUCAUGAUAGAGGUACUGACAGAAGUGCGCAAAAUUCCUUUUUGAACAAUUGAGUUCAGUAUAACACAGUUACAAUAAUUGUUACAAAACUUCAGUUAUAAUACAAGCAGGAUUUCAAUGGCUGGGUCUCAUGUGAGCUACAGGAUAAAAGUCAUGAAGCGAGAAUGAGAGUGGGAGAACUUAUCAUCACUACUGAUAAAAUACGGAAUUAGUUUGCAUUUCUACCUUCCACACUCUAAAAAAAAAUGCUCAGAUUGAAGUGACACACUCCCCUGACUCUUGCAAAAAUGUAGGCAAUAGGCAAAUAUAAAAAUUCAAUAUCAUGGCUCUGUUCCCUGCUAUGAGUGCUGUUUGCGCUGCCUGUGUGAGAAGACUAGGCUUCCUCUGUCUGUACUAAAAGAGAAAAAUCCUUUCUUCAGCAGCUGACUUAGAGUAUUUGAGUAAAUCAUAUGUGGAUCUGAUAUUGCUAGCCAAGAUUUGUAGACUUCUGUGGUUUGGGGCAAUUACAUAGAAGUACAAAAUACCCUGCUUUUUUGGUGAUUCUCUUACUCAGUUGAACCACCAACCCUUUGAGGUCCAUCCAUCACGGCAGCA